rnacentral:rRNA from 1 species
GACGAACGCUGGCGGCGCGCUUAACACAUGCAAGUCGAACGGAAAGGCCUGCUUUCCCUUGUGGAUUGCGGGUACUCGAGUGGCGAACGGGUGAGUAACACGUGAGUGAUCUGCCCCCAACUUGGGUAUAAGCCUGGGAAACUGGGUCUAAUUCCCGAUAGGACUGCAGGGUGGUGCCUGUGGUGGAAAACGAUUUUCUAGUGGUUGGGGAUGAGCUCGCGGCCUAUCAGCUUGUUGGUGGGGUAAUGGCCUACCAAGGCGGCGACGGGUAGCCGGCCUGAGAGGGUGGACGGCCACAUUGGGACUGGGAUACGGCCCAGACGCCUACGGGAGGCAGCAGUGGGGAAUAUUGCACAAUGGGCGGAAGCCUGAUGCAGCGACGCCGCGUGGGGGAUGACGGCCUUCGGGUGGUAAACUCCUUUCGACCGCGAGGAAGCCACCUGGUUGGAAGGGUGGUGACGGUAGUGGUAGAAGAAGCACCGGCUAACUACGUG